AGUCUAGCAUGUGCGCGAGUCAUUGGGACUCAAUAAACCUAAAGGCACAAUGAAAGUGAAAGUCUGUUUACGCGGACUUAGGGAAGAUAGGUGCGUACACUUGUGUACAACCUCGCACUCCCGGGGCGUCUCGCACUCAUUGCGAGGUGGGGCGCACCAAGAGCGUACACGCUGGGACCCGAAAGAUGGUGAACUAUGCCUGGUCAGGACGAAGUCAGGGGAAACCCUGAUGGAGGUCCGUAGCGAUUCUGACGUGCAAAUCGAUCGUCGGAACUGGGCUUAGGGGCGAAAGACUAAUCGAACCAUCUAGUAGCUGGUUCCCACCGAAGUUUCCCUCAGGAUAGCUGGCACUAGAUUAUGGAUGAGUCUCAUCCGGUAAAGCGAAUGAUUAGAGGCAUUGGGGUCGAAACGGCCUCAACCUAUUCUCAAACUUUAAAUGGGUGAGAUCUCCGGCUUGCUCGAUUUAUGAAGCCGGAGAUCGGAUCAAUUAGUGCCAAGUGGGCCACUUUUGGUAAGCAGAACUGGCGCUGUGGGAUGAACCAAACGCAGAGUUAAAGCGCCAAAAUCGACGCUUAUGGGAUACCAUGAAAGGCGUUGGUAACUUAAGACAGCAGGACGGUGGCCAUGGAAGUC
rnacentral:rRNA from 1 species